rnacentral:tRNA from 1 species
AAAGAAAUUAAAAAUAAAAGCUUCUAACUUUUAAAAAAGCACAUAGUGUUUAA